rnacentral:lncRNA from 1 species
GUUGUGUUAUCAGUACACUCUCCGAGACAAGAUGUAUCCGAUAUUCCUUGUUGCCGGUGCUGUGAAAAUAUCCGUGCUGCAGUGGUAUGCCCGACACAUAAGGUAUCACAUAUGGGCUCGUCCAAUACAGUCUCUGGUUGAAGAAAAACAGAACGGGCAAUUCAUUAAUCUUGUUUUCUUGUCGAGGUCGCCUCAACCCUCCACAUCAUCCCUUCAAAGAGCUUUCAGUUCCUGCAGUUACAGCGAAGGCAGACAUACCACCGAGAUGGUACCUUACCCAAAACGUAUAUUGCUUUCGAUACAUGUCUAUUGUUUCUUAAUCAUCUGCCAACAGCUGUAUUCCAUCUCUUGGAUCGCAUCUGUGGUCCAGAAUGGCAUUGGCACUUCCCCGGAUAGUCACAAAGAGACACGCCUAUGAUUGGCGCACGCGCCCCCCAUGGCGUUGGUUGUCCUUGGGAUACUCUAUUGAAGCACAUUCUCCGCAAUGCAAAUGCAUUAGUUCCACAGCUGUUCAAUAUGCAGAAGAAAUCGGUGGUGAUACAAGCGAAGUUUGGGCCUCAUGAGCAUCCAUCUAGCAACCGCCCGACUCAUCUACGCUUUCGAAUGAGCAGAUUGAAGUCAUCAACACUCUGCCACAUAUCGGCUUUUACCCCCAAACCCCGAGACUUGAAUACGAGCAUUGCAUUGGUGGAGAAAUCAGAUAUUGUUUCGAGUGCAAGGGGCAAAUACUCAAGUGCCUCGCCGGUCUUCUCAGAGGAGAUAAGCUAUAUUCCAACGUCGCGGGCUGUGAAUUUCGCUAAUUAGAAUACAAGUUGGCAUGUCGGUCGAAACGAUGUGGCUGUACGGUAUCGAUUUCCGAAAUAAUAUACUGGGACUUGAAUAAUUAGCGCUUUACUACGUGGAGGGCAUUCAAGUUAUAACGCCCAGCUUCACAGGCAGGACAGAUAGAGCUGUCUCUAGAAGGCAUCCAAGAUCUCAGAUCGGGGCACGAUGUGCGUGCCAGUGACAUUUACCCUCUUCUACGUGAACCAACCUUCUAUUCAACACUGGAGCAAAUGGAGGAUUGGCUGAGAUUCCAGCCUCCUCAAAUGGCAGCCUGUCGUCCAUGGCUGCUUGCGGUGAUCUCAUCGAUUUGAACAUCGCUUACUGAAGUUCAGAGCAAGUCCAACAAGGACGUCAAAAAGUCGAACUGUUUCCAAGUCGUACUUCAGCGGCUGGAGACUGGUGAUUUUCCAAUGAACGACCACCUCCAGGGCAUGUGCAUCGUACUGGAUGCAAUUUUGCUCCUUGGCAACGUUCCUGAGCUAUUGAUCCACUUCCUGUUGUUGUUUCUGUCUAUCCUGAAUGGAUGCAGGGCUUGGAUUCCUUCGCUUCCUUGUUGGGUUGCUGGGACCCUUAAAUCACCAGCAAACUCUAUGAUCGGUGGUGUUCAUGGCCCCCGACUUUCUUUUCCAGAUGACAGCGGAUCAUGGUAACAUGGUCCUAACAAUAUGUCAAUGAAGAAGCAGACAUGCAGUCAGUCAGAUUACGACUACGAUGGAAAUAUAUCCAAAGAAUCCACAGCUGCGAUCGAUGACAGAUUCUCAGGUUGGAACGAUACCUUGAAUGACCCGUGCGUGCCUCUAUCUGAUGAAACAUAAUCCUGAGGGUCUUUCGCACAGUUUCCUCGAGCUAGCCGACCGCUCAAGCGUAUUCACCUUCUAACCAUCAGCACCAAUCAAACAAUCGUCACGGAUAUUUGCAGACAUCAAUCCCAUUUCCGUCUUUUCUCUAGCGAUCCAUGUUCUCAAUCGACCAUUGUCGAGUCGCCAUGGACAUUGCAAGUUCGAUAUGUCUGAGUAUGAAGCGAUGCACACCGACGGAGCGUUCUCCACGCAUAGAGUCUAGCGAAGUCUCAUUGUCAAUCUCAGCAACCGGGUUUGCACACAUCGAGUCCAAAACAAACAUGAGUAUCCCAAUGACCCCUCUAUACACCUACUCCAUUGCAAAUCUAUCGGUCAUCGAAUAGCAACUUAUAUAUUCCCUACGUCAACUGAACCUGAAGCAUCAACAUUGACUGGUGCAAAUAAUCUGCUACCACACUUCAGAAGUGUGAUCGCGAAAUCACCCCGCUGGAGACCACGACGUCCAGAAUAAGCUUCAGAUGCUGUGGCCUCGCCAAAGUCUGUGUUUGGUAGUUAACUCUUAUGUUGAUCCAUAGGUCUUAUCAAUUGAUCUUUAUCAGCGAGAAUGCAAAUAGCAUCAUUCAAGGAGUGAAUACAAGGAUCCGAACACGAUGGCGCUGGAAGUCGUGACUUUGCCAGAUACGAUGGCAAGAUGGUACCACUAGGGAUUCACGAUGGAUCGGAGUCCUGAGCAAAAUCUGUUCAUGGUAGGCAAUAUCUACCAGUGUCCAGUCCAGUUGCUCGACAUUGCGCACAAGAUGACGUCUUGAAUACACUAUCUAUGAGCGGCCAAGAACCGCUAUAUUGCCUUUACCUUUCGCAAUGAGAGACGCCGAGUACGCCAAGAUCCUGGAGUAUGGGUCGGAGCACAGCGCAUGGCUUUAAGGGUGUGGUUAAGAUAUAACUCAUCAAUAGGUUGGAAUAGGCGGAGAUCAUGAAGAUCAUAGCAAAAAGCUAUGGUUUGUUAGAAAAGCAGGCGUGCGAUCCAGCUUGUAUACUGGAGUGACAAAUACAUGAUUCCGAUAAUUUCUAUCCUACGACCAUCCGGAUACAAGAAUAGAAAUCACUACUAUUGAGAUUCGCCCGAAAGCGAUUCUAUGGGAUGACAAAGGCUACGUCAGCAAAGCCAAUUGUGCCAACUGCCACUGCCUCCAAGACCAGUUCGCGCGAUUGAUGCUAUGUCUUUCCACUCCAGGUCUUACAGGAAGAAGGUCAAGACUCUGGUGACUUUGAGGAAACCGGUCAUACCCACUGCCACAGUGUUGAUAUCCCUAAUAUCGAUUCUUGUUUCUUCAACGACAAUGAAGUCGUAGAAGUCUUACGAGAUACACUCAAAAACGUUGUAUCACGUGCAAAUCAAGACGGUUUCCCUGAUCUUCCUGCUCAGCUCUGCACUGAUGCAUUAAGUCCGAAAUAUUGGCAGCAGUUCCUGCGCAGUCCAUGGGUUUCUGCGCGAACACGCACGAGGCGCAAUGAUACAAAAGAUGCAACCAGAGAGCCACUCAAAUGAAGAACAGAUCCACGCGAGAACCCGUUGGACAUCAUACUGGCUGGCUUUGAGACUAUGUCCUCAAUAGCCGAGAUUUUUUUAUUUGAAAUCACACGUUUUCGUGGACGAAGCUGGUCCCUCGACCAGAUGAUAUACCUAGUGGUCAGAACUAGCCAUCAGGUACGGCUGGAAAGGGAUGUUUGUAACGAUGCUCA